rnacentral:tRNA from 1 species
GGCCUAGGACACCGCCCUUUCACGGCGGUAACAGGGGUUCGAAUCCCCUUGGGGAUG